GUUGAAUGCCUUUGAGAACUUGAUGCAUAAAAUUUGCAUGACUCCUCACUCCUUUCUGGAUCUCUCAUUGGACUCAAGCCAGCAUGGCUCACACCACAAAGGUUAACGGCAGUGCCUCAGGAAAAGCAGGUGAUAUUCUCAAUGGAGACCAGGACAAGGAACAGAAAGACCCUUACUUUGUGGAGACCCCCUAUGGUUAUCAACUAGACUUAGAUUUCCUCAAAUAUGUGGAUGACAUACAGAAGGGAAAUACCAUCAAAAGACUGAACAUCCAGAAGAGGCGGAAGCCAUCCGUGCCAUGCCCAGAACCCAGGACCACAUCUGGUCAGCAAGGUAUAUGGACUUCCACUGAAUCCCUCUCAUCCUCCAACAGUGAUGACAACAAGCAGUGCCCCAACUUCCUCAUAGCCAGAAGUCAAGUUACAUCAACUCCAAUCUCAAAGCCACCUCCCCCUCUGGAGACCUCACUCCCUUUUCUUACCAUCCCAGAAAAUCGACAGCUGCCACCUCCCUCACCACAACUCCCAAAGCAUAACCUUCAUGUCACCAAGACACUGAUGGAGACCCGGAGAAGACUGGAACAGGAGAGAGCCACCAUGCAGAUGACACCGGGUGAGUUCAGAAGGCCCAGGCUGGCCAGUUUUGGAGGCAUGGGCUCCACAAGCUCCCUCCCUUCUUUUGUGGGUUCUGGAAACCACAAUCCUGCCAUGCACCAGCUUCAGAAUGGAUACCAAGGUAAUGGGGAUUAUGGUAGCUAUGCCCCAGCUGCUCCCACCACUUCCUCCAUGGGGAGCUCCAUCCGCCACAGCCCCCUGAGCUCAGGGAUCUCCACCCCAGUGACCAACGUGAGCCCCAUGCACCUGCAGCACAUCCGCGAGCAGAUGGCCAUUGCUCUGAAACGCCUGAAGGAGCUGGAGGAGCAGGUGCGAACCAUCCCUGUGCUCCAGGUAAAGAUCUCUGUCUUGCAAGAAGAGAAAAGGCAGUUGGUCUCACAGCUGAAAAACCAAAGGGCUGCAUCCCAGAACAAUGUCUGUGGUGUGAGGAAGCGGUCCUACAGUGCGGGGAACGCCUCCCAGCUGGAACAGCUCUCCCGGGCCCGAAGAAGUGGCGGGGAAUUAUACAUUGACUAUGAGGAGGAGGAAAUGGAGACCGUAGAACAGAGCACGCAGAGGAUAAAGGAGUUCCGGCAGCUUACAGCAGACAUGCAAGCCCUGGAGCAGAAGAUCCAGGACAGCAGCUGUGAGGCCUCCUCAGAGCUCAGGGAGAAUGGAGAGUGCCGGUCUGUGGCUGUGGGUGCCGAGGAGAACAUGAACGACAUCGUCGUGUACCACAGAGGCUCCAGGUCCUGUAAGGAUGCAGCUGUAGGGACACUUGUUGAGAUGAGAAAUUGUGGGGUCAGCGUGACAGAGGCCAUGCUUGGAGUGAUGACUGAAGCCGACAAAGAAAUUGAGCUGCAACAGCAGACCAUAGAAGCCUUGAAGGAAAAGAUCUAUCGCCUAGAAGUACAGCUUAGAGAAACCACCCAUGACCGGGAGAUGACUAAACUAAAACAAGAGCUGCAGGCUGCUGGAUCGAGGAAAAAGGUUGACAAAGCCACGAUGGCCCAGCCGCUUGUUUUCAGUAAGGUGGUGGAGGCAGUGGUGCAGACCAGAGACCAAAUGGUCGGCAGUCACAUGGACCUGGUGGACACGUGUGUUGGGACCUCCGUGGAAACAAACAGUGUAGGCAUCUCCUGCCAGCCCGAAUGUAAGAAUAAAGUCGUAGGGCCUGAGCUGCCUAUGAAUUGGUGGAUUGUUAAGGAGAGGGUGGCAAUGCAUGACCGAUGUGCUGGGAGGUCUGUGGAAAUGUGUGACAAGAGUGUGAGUGUGGAAGUCAGCGUCUGCGAAACAGGCAGCAACACAGAGGAGUCUGUGAACGACCUCACACUCCUCAGGACAAACUUGAAUCUCAAAGAAGUGCGGUCUAUCGGUUGUGGAGAUUGUUCUGUUGACGUGACCGUCUGCUCUCCAAAGGAGUGCGCCUCCCGGGGCGUGAACACUGAGGCUGUUAGCCAGGUGGAAGCUGCCGUCAUGGCAGUGCCUCGUACUGCAGACCAGGACACUAGCACGGAUUUGGAACAGGUGCACCAGUUCACCAACACCGAGACGGCCACCCUCAUAGAGUCCUGCACCAACACUUGUCUAAGCACUUGGGACAAGCAGACCAGCACCCAGACUGUGGAGACACGGACAGUAGCUGUAGGAGAAGGCCGUGUCAAGGACAUCACCUCCUCCACCAAGACGCGGUCCAUUGGUGUUGGAACGUUGCUUUCUGGCCAUUCUGGGUUUGACAGGCCAUCAGCUGUGAAGACCAAAGAGUCAGGUGUGGGGCAGAUAAAUAUUAACGACAACUAUCUGGUUGGUCUGAAAAUGAGGACCAUAGCUUGUGGGCCACCACAGUUGACUGUGGGGCUGACAGCCAGCAGAAGGAGCGUGGGGGUUGGGGGUGACCCUGUAGGGGAAUCUCCGGAGAACCCCCAGCCUCAAGCUCCACCUGGAAUGAUGACCGGCCUGGAUCACUACAUUGAGCGCAUCCAGAAGCUGCUGGCAGAACAGCAGACACUGCUGGCUGAGAACUAUAGUGAACUGGCAGAAGCUUUCGGGGAGCCUCACUCACAGAUUGGCUCCCUCAACUCUCAGCUCAUCAGCACCCUGUCGUCUAUCAACUCUGUCAUGAAAUCUGCAAGCACUGAAGAGCUGAGGAACCCUGACUUCCAGAAAACCAGUCUGGGUAAAAUCACAGGCAAUUAUUUGGGAUAUACCUGUAAGUGUGGAGGCCUUCAGUCAGGAAGUCCCUUAAGCUCCCAGACAUCCCAGCCUGAGCAAGAAGUGGGGACCUCAGAAGGAAAGCCAAUCAGCAGCCUGGAUGCCUUCCCCACUCAGGAAGGUACGCUGUCUCCAGUGAACCUGACAGACGACCAGAUCGCCGCUGGCCUCUAUGCAUGUACAAACAAUGAAAGUACACUGAAGUCCAUCAUGAAGAAGAAAGAUGGUAACAAAGAUUCAAAUGGCGCAAAAAAGAAUCUUCAGUUUGUUGGCAUUAAUGGAGGGUAUGAAACAACUUCAAGUGAUGAUUCCAGCUCAGAUGAAAGCUCUUCUUCCGAGUCAGAUGACGAGUGUGAUGUCAUUGAGUAGCCUCUUGAAGAAGAGGAGGAGGAGGAGGAUGAAGACACUCGGGGAAUGGCAGAAGGGCACCAUGCAGUUAAUAUUGAAGGUUUGAAGUCUGCCAGGGUGGAAGAUGAAAUGCAGGUUCAAGAAUGUGAACCUGAGAAGGUGGAAAUCAGAGAGAGGUGUGGUACAUUCCCCUUCCCUCCCUUGCCCCUCCCACAUUUAAUGUACUUUGGCAAUAGAGUUGGCCAGUUCAGAGCUUUUGUAAUUAAAUGUUUGCUUUUAUCUGUUCCUCAGAGGUAUACACAUCUUGAGAUACUAAUAUAUACAAGUGCAGAGUAUUGCAACUCUUAGAUCUCUUAUGGUAGAAUGGCCUGAUAACCUAAUCACCCUUGUUUUCUGAAACCUUAACUCUGCUAUAUAAUUUAACAUAUGGAACCACAAUCCACUAAAACUUCCAUUGUUUGAACACCUUACCUUAUAUUUAAAGACAUUUUAAUUUUUUGGUGGCCAGCCUACUGUAAGAUUUCAGAUUUUAUGUUUAGCCAUUUAUCUUGAUACAGGAUCAUUGUGUGGAUGAGGCCUCAGCCAAAGAUCACAUAUACUGUAAAGAUGAUGCAUAUCACUUACAUGUUUGUAUUUUGUUACACAUUGAAUGAUCAGGAAUACCACAAGAAUGGAGUUGGGUAUAUCAUAAAUAGUAGCUGAAAAACACUCUGGUUGGCUGAAACAUGUGCCUCAAAAUGUAAGUUUUCAAGACCAUUAGAUAAGGAUUUGAUGCUCAUAAAAUAGAGAGUAGAAAAGGUGGAAACUUCAGUAUGGUUCUUCACUAUGUGAAAUAGAAAUAGAACAUUUCACAAAACUUACCUCUAUUUAAUUUGGCAAAUGAAAGUUUAACUGCAUUAACACAAGGUAAGUGUUUUUAGUUUAUAUUUCCAAGUGUUUCACAUGGCUUUUUAACAGCUUUGAGAUGUAAUUUAUAUACCAUAUGUCAUUUUUUUACUCUUCAUAUGGGUUAAACACUUGAGUCACCAAAUGUGGGUUCAGAUGUGUGGUUUACUGGUCAGCACAAUGGAUAUAUGGUAAUUUGUGGAAAGUCAAGGCAAGAGGAUCGCUUGAGCACAGGAGUUUGAGACUAGCCUGGACAACAUAGUAAGACCUACAUCCCUACAAAAAUAUCAAUUACCUGGGCAUGGUGUCACAUGCCAGCUGCUCUGGAGGAUAAGGUGGGAGGAUCACUUGAACCCUGGAGGUUGAGGCUGCAGUGAGCCAGUGCACUCCAGUCUGGGUGACAGAGCAAGACCCUGUCUCAGAAAAAAAGUAAUUUGGGUCUCCUUCAACCCCCUUAAGAUUAAAAAUAUUUUUUAAAAACUUAGAACAGGUUGGGCACAGUGGCUCACACCCAUAAUCCCAAUACUUUGGGAGGCUGAGGCAGGCAGGCAGAUAGCUUGAGCCCAAGAGUUCGAGACCAGCCUGGGCAACAUGGUGAAACCCUGUCUCUACAAAUACAAAGCCGGGUGCGGUGGCACACACGUGUAAUCCCAGUUACUUGGGAAGCUGAGGUAGGAAGAUUGCUUGAGGCUGGGACAGCAAAACUACAGUGAGCCGUGAUUGCACCACUGCACUCCAGCCUGGGCAACAGAGUGAGACCUUGUCUCAAAAAAAAAAAAAAAAAAAAACUUAAAAUGGCAAAAAAAAAUCUUUAAAUGUUAUUCCAGAAUGUCAUAAAGGCCAAUUGGUGAAGCCGAAUGUCACCCUCCCAAACAAGGCCUCAAUCUCUGGCUGGAGGUGUUGGCUCUGCACAGUGGACGUAACCCCCUUAGACCCCUAAGGAUUUCUGUGCUGCCUCCACCCAAGCACCUUGUGCCAUAAUGACCUGCCUAGGCUGGCUUGGGGCCACUUGCCUUUUAAAAAUUGAAGCUGCGCACAGUGUCCCACACCUGUAAUCCCAGCACUUUGGGAAGCCGAGGCAGGUGGAUCACCUGAGGUCAGGAGUUCAAAACCAGCCUGGCCAACAUAGUGAAACCCCGUCUCUACUAAAAAUACAAAAAUUAGCUGGGCCUGGUGGUGCACACCUGUAGUCCCAGCUACUAGGGAGGCUGAGGCAGGAGGAUUGCUUGAAUCCAGGAGGCGGAGGUUGCAGUGAGCCAAUAUCAUGCCACUGCACUCCAGCCUGUGCGACAGAGCAUGACCCUGUCUCAAAAAAAAAAUUAUAUAUUUGGGUUGAAAUAAAAAUGAUUUUCUUCUUGUGACCAAUCGUAACUUGUUUUUUCUCCUUUCAGGUAUGAAUUAAGUGAAAAGAUGUUGUCUGCAUGCAACUUACUGAAAAAUACUAUAAAUGACCCCAAAGCUUUGACCAGCAAAGAUAUGAGGUUCUGUCUGAACACCCUCCAGCACGAGUGGUUCCGCGUGUCCAGUCAGAAGUCAGCCAUUCCAGCCAUGGUGGGGGACUACAUAGCUGCUUUUGAGGCCAUUCCCCAGAUGUCUCCGCUAUGUCAUCAACUUGGCAGACGGCAACGGCAACACAGCCCUCCAUUACAGCGUGUCCCACUCCAACUUCGAGAUUGUGAAGCUGCUGUUAGAUGCCGAUGUGUGUAAUGUGGAUCACCAGAACAAGGCAGGCUACACCCCCAUCAUGCUGGCGGCCCUCGCCGCUGUGGAAGCAGAGAAGGACAUGCGGGUUGUGGAAGAACUCUUUGGCUGUGGGGAUGUGAAUGCCAAAGCUAGUCAGGCGGGACAGACGGCCCUCAUGCUGGCGGUCAGUCACGGACGGAUAGACAUGGUGAAGGGCCUUCUGGCCUGUGGGGCUGAUGUCAACAUCCAGGAUGACGAGGGCUCCACGGCCCUCAUGUGUGCCAGCGAGCACGGGCACGUGGAGAUCGUCAAGCUGCUGCUGGCCCAGCCCGGCUGCCACGGUCACCUAGAGGACAACGAUGGCAGCACUGCGCUCUCAAUCGCCCUGGAAGCAGGACACAAGGACAUCGCUGUUCUUCUGUAUGCCCAUGUCAACUUUGCAAGAGCCCAGUCUCUGGGCACCCCUAGGCUUGGAAGGAAGACGUCUCCUGGCCCCACCCACCGAGGUUCAUUUGAUUGAUUGUAUGCAAAUAGCCCUUCAUUUACAUGCCACUAUUCAGCUGCUAAUUGUUCCUGUUGGGGUGACAGAUACUGAAUGUAUACGUAUUGUGCCUGAGCUCACCAGCAAACAGAAGCAUCAAGCCCAGGGGUAAAGGCUGAAGCUUUCACAGUGCAGAGACUGCUAGCCUGGGCACACGCACCUCCUUUCUGGCCAUCUUCUGUGUAGGGCACACUUUAACCCAGUCUCUGUUGCUGUUGAGUCUCUGCUCCGUUUUGUACAGUCAUAGGGAAUUCUGAUCUGAAGGGGCACCUUCUGUUCACUCCCACAAAGAAGUGUCUGGUUCUCACUGAGACGUUUUAAGAUUUUUCCACAAAUAUUUAUAUUUACUAAAUGUGGAACCACCAGAAAGUUCUUCCAAAAUCUCAUUCCAGCAUAGUUUUGGAUUUUUCUUUUGUCUUAAAAUAAGGAAGUCGAGAUGACUUUGAUCAUUGGUAACGUGGGCCUGGGCCAGACACAACUCUCAAAGUAUAAAACUUAGAAAAGAUGAUGCUCAUUUGGUCUUAGCCAGGUAGAUGUAAUAUAUGACUUUUUAUAAAAAGGGUAUCUAUAUGAACUUGACACAGUCUUUUCAGCUUUUGUAUUCCAUACUGAAGCCAUGAAGAACUACACGUAACAUCAUCAUUUGUAUUAAUUGCACAACUCCAAUGCUAAAGGUUGGAUUGUGUUAGAGGAAUCAGCUCUGUAUUUGCCUCUAGAGAAACACAGUGUAGUUCUCUUUGUAUUUAUGGAUUCCUUUUUACCGUGUCACAUUUACUUUGGUCCUCUAUGUAUUUAAAUGUUUGAAGUGCCUUAGACUCUUGCCAUAUUUUCAAAAUAAAAUUUCAUUAAGCUCU
rnacentral:sRNA from 1 species